rnacentral:rRNA from 1 species
AGAGUUUGAUCCUGGCUCAGGAUGAACGCUGGCGGCGUGCUUAACACAUGCAAGUCGAACGAAGCACUCUAUUUGAUUUUCUUCGGAAAUGAAGAUUUUGUGACUGAGUGGCGGACGGGUGAGUAACGCGUGGGUAACCUGCCUCAUACAGGGGGAUAACAGUUGGAAACGACUGCUAAUACCGCAUAAGCGCACGGUAUCGCAUGGUACAGUGUGAAAAACUCCGGUGGUAUGAGAUGGACCCGCGUCUGAUUAGCCAGUUGGUGGGGUAACGGCCUACCAAAGCAACGAUCAGUAGCCGACCUGAGAGGGUGACCGGCCACAUUGGGACUGAGACACGGCCCAAACUCCUACGGGAGGCAGCAGUGGGGAAUAUUGCACAAUGGGGGAAACCCUGAUGCAGCGACGCCGCGUGAACGAAGAAGUAUUUCGGUAUGUAAAGUUCUAUCAGCAGGGAAGAUAAUGACGGUACCUGACUAAGAAGCACCGGCUAAAUACGUGCCAGCAGCCGCGGUAAUACGUAUGGUGCAAGCGUUAUCCGGAUUUACUGGGUGUAAAGGGAGCGCAGGCGGUGCGGCAAGUCUGAUGUGAAAGCCCGGGGCUCAACCCCGGUACUGCAUUGGAAACUGUCGUACUAGAGUGUCGGAGGGGUAAGUGGAAUUCCUAGUGUAGCGGUGAAAUGCGUAGAUAUUAGGAGGAACACCAGUGGCGAAGGCGGCUUACUGGACGAUAACUGACGCUGAGGCUCGAAAGCGUGGGGAGCAAACAGGAUUAGAUACCCUGGUAGUCCACGCCGUAAACGAUGACAUACUAGGUGUUGGAGAGCAUUGC